AUCCGUAACACCACCGCCUCCUCC
rnacentral:siRNA from 1 species